rnacentral:rRNA from 1 species
UCUGGCUCUCGGGCCCGAGUUGUAAUUUGUAGAGGAUACUUUUGAUGCGGUGCCUUCCGAGUUCCCUGGAACGGGACGCCAUAGAGGGUGAGAGCCCCGUCUGGUUGGAUGCCAAAUCUCUGUAAAGUUCCUUCGACGAGUCGAGUAGUUUGGGAAUGCUGCUCUAAAUGGGAGGUAUAUGUCUUCUAAAGCUAAAUAUUGGCCAGAGACCGAUAGCGCACAAGUAGAGUGAUCGAAAGAUGAAAAGCACUUUGAAAAGAGAGUUAAAAAGUACGUGAAAUUGUUGAAAGGGAAGCGUUUAUGACCAGACUUGGACUUGGUUAAUCAUCUGGGGUUCUCCCCAGUGCACUUCUCCAGUUCAGGCCAGCAUCAGUUUUCGCCGGGGGAUAAAGGCAGCGGGAAUGUGGCUCUCUUCGGGGAGUGUUAUAGCCCGUUGUGUAAUACCCUGGUGGGGACUGAGGUUCGCGCUUCUGCAAGGAUGCUGGCGUAAUGGUCAUCAACGACCCGUCUUGAAACACGGACCAAGGAGUCGUCUUCGUAUGCGA